AUGCACCAGACCCGGCCCACUAAGGGGAAGUUGAAGGCAUUUAAGAAGCCUAUUGCAGGGGCUAGACGUGUCACAACUUUCAUCUAUAGACAUGGAAGACUUCUUAGUCUAAUGAGGAAGGCCACGGGUGGGGAUCUUGUGAGACCAGCAGCAACUCGUUUUGCCACAGCCAUCCUCACACUUAGGAGUUUGGUCAAGAACAAGGCUGCAUUGAGGAGUUUAUUUACAUCUGAUGAAUGGGUUGGAAACAAGUUAGCAAAAACACAAGUUGGCUUGAAUGUGCAAGAGAUUAUACUUUCAACGGAGUGGUGGAGCGCAAUUGAGGAUUGCCUUAGAGCUUCAACUCCACUUCUUAGAGUUCUUAGAGUAGCGGAUGGUGAUGAGAAGCCUGCCAUGCCAGAGAUUAAAGCACUUAUGAUUUAUGCAAAGGAGAGGAUCAAUCUAGGUUUCCCUCAACAAAACAAGCAACCAUUGCUCAAGAAGAUCUUGGCCAUUGUUGACAAGCGUUGGGAGAAUCAAAUGGAUCAUCCAUUGUAUGGGGCUGCUCUAUUUUUGAACCCAGGAAAGUUCUUUCCUAUUGUAAGCAGAAAUGAUGAUGCCUUAGUUGGGGAGCUUAGGAGCUGCUUUAAUGAUGUGCUUGCAAAAAUGGUACCGGAUGUCAAUGUUCGAAAAAAGAUUGAUCAACAAGCUGUGCUCUAUGAGCGCCAGCGAGAAGGCUUUUCUAAUCCAUUGGCACUCGAGACCAUGAGCACAAGAAACCCUCUUGAUUGGUGGAGUUCAUUUGGUGGUCAGGCCAUUGACCUACAAAGGUUUGCAAAGCGCAUUGUUAGUCUUUGUGCUUCAUCAUCUGGUUGUGAGAGGAAUUGGAGCACGUUUGAAUUUAUCCAUACGAAGAAAAGGAACAGGUUACAAUGGAAAAGGUUGAAUGAUCUUGUCUUUGUUUCAUACAACCGGAAGAAUAUGCAACGGUUUCAAAAGAGGCGUGAGAAGGUGGGCGAGAAUAGCUUUGAGGCUUUGGUCAUUGAGGAUUUUGAUUGGGGCAAUGAGUGGGUGGACCCAUCACUAUCACAACCUCAAGGUGCUCGAGGUUGUCCUGAAGACAAUCAAGACAUUACAUGGGAGGAUGUUGAUGUGGCUAUUGGUGCAUCUUCAAACCUUCGAGGCCGCAAUCUGCAUAGGACAGCAACUACAGUUCGUAGGGGCCAGACAAAUAUCCGUCUGCAACACUACGCACGCAAGAGACCUACUACAACACGACCUACAGUUCCUGAAGAAGAUGAGGCAGAGGAGGACUUGGAGCAAGAACAACACUCAAGUAUGCCCAAUGCGGAGGGGGAGGAUUCAGACUACGUUGAGGAUGAUGAUGAUCAAAUGCAAAGAGGAUGGGAAUGGAUGCUAUAUGGGCUCUACAACAAUCAGUUGCAAGGUGUGUAUGGCUGUAUGCCUAGUUGCUCAAUGCCUAAUUGCCUACCAAUUUCUAGUUUUCUACUUAAUUCUGUUGCUUACAAGUCUCUAAGGCCCCAUAAACAAGCUCUUUUAGCAUCUAUCUAUACCUAUACUAAGACUCAAAAAAAAUCUAUCUAUACCUAUACUGAUUAG
rnacentral:rRNA from 1 species